AGUGAACGCUGGCGGCAGGCCUAACACAUGCAAGUCGAGCGGCAGCGCGGGGGCAACCCUGGCGGCGAGCGGCGGACGGGUGAGGAAUUCGUCGGAAUCUGCCUUUUUGUGGGGGAUAACGUAGGGAAACUUACGCUAAUACCGCAUACGUCCUACGGGAGAAAGUGGGGGACCGCAAGGCCUCACGCAGAAAGAUGAGCCGACGACCGAUUAGCUAGUUGGUGGGGUAAAGGCCCACCAAGGCGACGAUCGGUAGCUGGUCUGAGAGGAUGAUCAGCCACACUGGGACUGAGACACGGCCCAGACUCCUACGGGAGGCAGCAGUGGGGAAUAUUGGACAAGGGGCGCAAGCCUGAUCCAGCCAUGCCGCGUGUGUGAAGAAGGCCUUCGGGUUGUAAAGCACUUCUGUCCGGAAAGAAAUCCCUGGAGCUAAUACCUUCGGGGGAUGACGGUACCGGAAGAAUAAGCACCGGCUAACUUCGUG
rnacentral:rRNA from 1 species